CUUUAAAAUAAUUUAGGGAAAAUUAGACAUAAACCCAAUCGUAGCAAUUGCCACAAAGGCAACCCAUAGGGGAUCCUUUUGUAGCAAUUGCUACGAUUGGGUGGAUGUCUCAUUUUCUCUUAAUCAUUACUUCUCUCCACCUUGCGAGUUUUCGCAGAACUAUUACGUCAGGCUUUAAAAUCCUUUGUGGUGAAGCUGACUUCAGAAAACUGGGCACCAUUGUGCAACAAUUUUACAGCGAAGCUGUAUAUGUCUACCUUCCCAUACAUUUUUCAAUCUUCGUGCCCCAAGACUUCCGCACCCUCUAUGAGGAGGCAAAGCAAACCAGUAAGGCAUGUGCUGACAGCUCGCAUACCAAGAGGAAAGCUAAGAAACCAUCCAAUACAUAGUUUCAUACAAUAAUUACUAGAGCGAACUGUGGUGCUGAUGUCUACGGGAGCUGCAAUCAGGGCAGUUCAGCCAACGUGGGAAUUGUGAGAAGUACAUAGAUUUGCCUAAAUUUUAUCCUUCUGGCUUCAAACAUCUCUUCGACAUUGUAAGUUCGUCAUUUUCAGCAAAGUACUGCAUAAUUAAUAAUUAAAUAAACAUUAUUAAGAUCAUUCGCUGGCUGGAUUCGAAAACAAGACCUUUAACACAGAAGCCCGACAGCGAAAUGAUUACACCACGGAUGCAUGCAUCAACAAGUGUCAUAAAAGGCCCUUACGAAUUUCCUGUGGGCAAGCCAGUAUCUUGAGACACCUGGCACAUUUCAAUUUGGACGCCUCGACAGGUUGAGCCACUAUUUGUAGCGAUUGUGCGUGUUUGCAGAGUAUUCUACACAUGUAGAAGAGAAAAACCACAAAAUAAGUCAUCUUUUACACUCAGUGGUGUGCUUUUGUUUUAAUUUAUUACUUUUUUUUUUUACAACUCCGCUGGUAGUCCACAUUGGCAGACUAGAAAGGCUGCGAUUUUUUCUUCAGAAAACUGAGUGCGCGUUAGGGUUCCACAUUGUUUAGGAGCUUUAUCAUCAUUUCCGUGUUAGUUUUCUGUUUUGGGCACAGAAAGUGCUUGAUUUGAGGGCGUAUUAGAAUCGUGCAAAUACUUCCAAAUAAAUAAGUGGUGUGUUUUGCAGCUUUUUCUGCAUAUUCAUCCUGCCAGAUAAUUUCAUCACUUUUGUUGGUCCCGUCAGAGUCAAAUUAACGGAAGCCGACUGUAUUACGAUCGAUCCACCAAAUCACCAUCUUUGAUUGAUUACGCAGUCUCCGGGACCAGGCCUGUUUGCUCAUUCAGAUAACUAUCCACUAAUGAUGCGAAACGAUUGGUAAAUAGUUAGCCUUUUUAACAACAAAUAGUGCAAGAAACAACUAUUAGUAGUUUAUUAAAAACAAUAGAUAGCAUUGUGAUAGUUCACUAUCGAUAGCGCAGUUGAUAAUUUUGCAAUUCUUGUCUUGUGAUAUUACAAAACAUUUUGUGAUAACUGGCCAUCUAUAAUGCUCAAUUUAUGCAAUUUGGAAAGAGUUAACAUCACCAAGUUUAUGUUCCAGUGUUACGUGCUGUACAUUAUGUAUUUAACGUUCAUAGCGCUAUCGAUGAACACGAGUAGCAGUGUAGUGCCAGCACUAUAUUGAUGAUUUUGCAUCGCCACCAUCCACACAAAUUGAGUUGUAAGAACCAACGAAAGAAAACCUUACUAUGAAAAGGCAGGUUUUGUGAUGAAAUACAUUGGAAAGCUGCAGUUGAUCCACUUAGAGCCUUCCGACUUCCGCGCCGCUGUUUGGCCACUUUGGCUUCUUUGGCUGCACGCAACUCUUCUGUCUGUUGUUGCUCACAAUUUCUCUCUUGAUCCCUGAAUGUUGUGUAAUGCACCAAGGCACAUGGCUGUCGUGAAAUGCACUCUCAACGUGUUCAUUGUGAUACCCGUGUAGUUUCUCUAUGUGCGUCUCGUGAACAACACAUGCACUCUUUAACUGCACACAUAACAAAGUCUCACUCUUUGAAUGCUCAAGAAGGGGGAAAAAUAUUUUCUGAUUUUCAUGUCGUCGGUGUUGUCGUCGUCUCGUGGAUGAAUAAGAGUAUAUAUAGCAUUGCACGGAUGUGCUGUGGUGGUCGGCUCUAUUGGUGAUCUGGCUACAACUGGAUUCACUUGUCCUUUUUCUUUGUUUUUCUUUUGCUGUUGAUCGGUUACAUUUGGCUAUAGUAUUGACCUGAGUGCUUGUGGAUCCAUUUGAAAUAUGUAUUUUUUACACUUAAAUAAGUUUCGUAUAAGAUGUGUUGAGAGAGGCCCCGUUACACAAUGAUGAUAGAUGCAUGACCCAUGCCUUUUAUUACGCAUGGUUGUAAGCUGGUUGCAAUGUGUUAUGAUGUUAAGGUUUGCAGAUAUCAGGUUUGUAACUAAAUGUGACUGUUAUCUUGUAACAACAUAUGUUUUCAUAUUUUCCUUGGGGAAAGGACAUCUGUGCAGCUGUGUGGCCCUUGUCACAUUUACUGGAACAUAUUGAAGCACUUGAAGCUAUUGCUACAGGGUCAGCUUUAAAAGGACGUGGUAGCCGUGACACUUCCGAGGAAGCUUUAGCUCGGGUGCUCCUAUCUAAAUACAUGUAAAAGGAGAAUUCGUUUUUCUCGGCAACCACUGCACCAAAUUUGGCGAGGUUUGUUGCAUUUAAAUGGAAUCCUUAAAAUAUAGUGACUGUUGGUUUCGAAUUUUCGAUUUAGGUCUUCAAUUUUUUGUUAAACAGCGGCGAAAAUCGAAAAUGCAAAAAAAAUGAUACUAUCAAGUUUACAAUUCUGUAACUCAACAAUGAAAAAACGAUAAUGAAAUUCUGUGAAUUACAUCUAAUAGUACAUCUAAAGUGGACAAAAUUGAUAUGUCACACAUGAAUAUAAAAAAAUUUAGUAAUAGGGAAAUACAACUUUUGCAAAACCUUUGUAACCAACGUAACAAAUUCAUGUAAGCUGUAAAAUGACAUAUUGAAUUUGUCCACUUUGAAUGACCUAAUGGAUGCCGUUUACAGAACCGCGAUAUCGGUUCUUGAUGCAGAGCUAUGAAUUUGUAAACAUCAUGCUUCUAUUUUUUUCAAACGGUCGAAUAUUUGAAAAUCUUUUUAACAAAAUUCAAGCCCUAAACCGAAAUUCCGCUUCCAACAGUUACUAGAAUUUAGUUUUCCCUCUCAAAUGCAGCAAAUUUCAUUAAAAUCGGUCCAGGGGCUGUCUCAGAAAAACAUUUUUGCAUUUUACAUGUAUUUGAAUAGGCUGCGUCGGAGUUGGGCCCGAGCUAAAGCUUCUUCUUAAGGCAAAAGCAGUACCUUGCAGCUAAAUAUAAAAAUAAAAGGAACGGCUGUAUUUGGAACAAAUAAGACCUUGUUUAUUGCAGCAUCAUUGGAAGUACAAGGUAUGCAAAGGCAAUGCUCACAUGUACCAUUAUAUUUUUUUUCAUUAAUAUGUCCAGCCAUCUGCUAUAGCCAACUUUGAUGUGGCAGCAGCCACUAUCUGAGUGGUUAUUUGCUAUCCAGAUGUGGUGGUUCCGAUUUUUUUUUUCAGACUGCCAAGCAAUUAAAAAGCACAGUACAAUAUCACCGAUUUUUGCUUUAGUGAAUUUUCUGGUUAUGUGUUUGCAUCAGAUGCUAUUAAAGGUAUCUCAUUUUGAUCAGAUGUGAAUUUUACCCCAAACACGGACAUCUUGAAAGUGUGGCAUUGGAAGAAAACAAAAACAAAGCUUACUUGCUGUAGCCUUUGCAGUUUACGACCAAUUGGAUUGCACAUAACCAUGUCUUUUAGGUAAAUUCCAAUCAGGGUGAUGAAGUUGCUUGUAAUUUUUUUUAUUUUUUCCUGUGUUAUUGCUCUAGAACCUUGUGCAAUGUACCGUACAUUUCUUUGAGGUGAUAUUCAUUACUUCCUUGUGCUUUUAAAGUUGGAAAUGAAGUUCGACUGUUCCUUACUAUACUGCUCAUCACCACUUCUUUUGCCCCGAGCAUGCAGCAAUGUCAAACAUUUUCACUUCUUAGAUCUCUGAAGCCACAGGCAGAGGUUGAACGUGAAAGUGCUUGUAGUGUGAAGAAAUAUCCAAAGUAUUUUAUUGCUCCUUCAUGUAUGAGAAGGACAGUAGGGAUAUAUCCCUGCACAAGCCCUAUCCUUACGAGCUUGUCCUCAGCUGUUGUAUGUGCUCUUGCACAAUGUCUAUCCAAGGAACAUGCUUUCCUAUGUCCCUUUUUGUUUGUUUGUUUGUUUGUUUGACCACAUCCUUUUGAAGAAAGCCACCGUAGAAUCCACUAUACUAUCCAUGUUGUGCAGCUGUAUGUUGUUCAGUAGAGUGUUCCGUGUCUUGUUCUUUUGUCCUUCAACAUAAACCAUUCAACUCUCUGCCCUACAAAGCCUCAGGCAACUCCUUCAAAGUUCUUCUUUGGCUCCUCAAACAGUGUUACAGUCUCAUUAACCUUUACACCUGUGUCCACCCGCCUCAAUUAUAUUUGAUGGAAGAGGGAAUUUUGUAUAUCUGUAGUACAAAAUACAUGUCAUGUUGUCUUGUUAUGUAGAUAAAAUAACUUUUAACUCAUCAUUCGCAACUCAAGAUGCAUAGCACACGAAAUUCUAUUUUGAUCUCUCUGACAGAGCAACCCUCGUGUACUGUCUAGCUGUGAUGUGUUAAUUGGGCUUCGUGCCUGGGUUUCAAACAAGAAACUCUGGUGGAAGACGUAAGAGGUGAUUUGAAACCUGAUGGAAGUUCUUGUGUGCAGGGAGCUGGAACGUGUGGGCAGCAGACAGUGCUCGACCAGAACUGUUGAGCCAUCAUGCAAAUGCAAGCAGUUCAAACACGAACUAAUAAAGUUCAGGGAUAGCACAUCUCCAGUCUCAAUGGUGCCAUUGUCAUCACCUUUCUUCAGUAACUGGACAUUUGGCUUUUAAGGCUGUUUUCCUGACUAAGAACAUCAAAAAUGCCACGCCAGAUUCACAUAAAGACUCAAACAUGAAAACUAUUCCUCCUAUUCAUUUAUUUUCCCAACUUAUGUUGAAAUUGAGCUUGAUGAUCCAUAGAGCUUCUUCAAUAAAUAUCUCAUUGAUAUUGGUUUUUAAUUGAUUUAUUCAUUUCAUAGUUGACCUUGAUGGUCCAGUCAUCGAAUUGACUAUUUAUUGCACCCCGUAUUUUUAAAAAUCUCAGGCUUACUUAUUUUUCGUUGCCACAGUUUCUUUUUUUACAUCAGAGAAGUGUUUGAGCUAUUAAAUAACUGUAGUUGUUUAAUCUUCAGAGUGUUAGCAUAUGACAGUCAUUUAGGACAUCAAACUUGUCACAGAUUUGUUUUAUACAUCUUUUGUUACCUGGAAAACAGCUGAGGGGUUGCACCUGAAGCUCAUGUUGUGUUUAGCAUACUUCCAACAAUUAGUGAAAGUGAUUCACAGGUAUUCCUGGAUGUAAAGACUUACAAGUAUGAGUAAAGGAAAUUUCAUUGUAUUAUCUUUUUUAUAUAGUACUUAUGCUAGAUGGCACUAGACUAUGACAAUAAUUGGAACUUUAAUCUGGAAGACUUAUGCAAGCUUGUGUGUCCACAGGCUGCUUCAAGUGCCUAGUUAGUCGGCGUAUUCAGUUUCAAAUCAUUACUUUAUCAACUAGAAAUAGUCCAAGAAUCGCUCAUCAAUAUGACCAGUAAUUUUCCUUUAAAGAGUGCUCCUAUCGAAAGAUAACUUCUUGCAGUAGAAGGCACAAUUGCAGCAUUAAAAGGCUGGAAUAUAUAAUUGUUGCAUUGUUAUUUCAAAUGACGAUGAAUAACUUGUUGCCUGUUGGCUGCCUUACAGUGCCUGAAGUUAAAUUUCUUUAUAAAUGUUGCUAUUUCUAUUUGAAAAUUCUUGUCCUCCCAAAAUAGCCUCAGGAAAGCUAACAUAAAGCGUCGUGACAGUUUUAAUAGCAAACUCUGCUGAUACAUGCUGUGGUGCUCGAAUGGUCAUAGCCUUCUGUUGCCGAGCAUGAGGUGGCAGAUUUUGUUCCUGGUCAAUACGGCCAAUUUCCACUGUGAAUGUAAUGCAAAAACACUUUUGUACUGCACCUUUAGUGCACAUUGAAGGACCUUGGGUGGCCAUGGUUGAUCUCAAGUUAUCCGGUAUGACAUCUCUCAGUGCUCCUAUUUUGCUUUGGAAUAUAAAGUCCCAUAUAUAAAUUUUUCAGCCUCAAUGUGUAGUACUAUUGCAGUACCAUCUGGGUUGAAAGAAUAUAUUGUGGCUUCUCGGAUAUAGGCACCACACUUCGAUGUAGUAAUCUUUUUUGCAUAAAGCCAUUGUUGGGACUGCAUCAUGUGUGCGAGUUCAAGAGUUGUGUCGGCAUUCAAGGUCAUGGUGGUCUCUGCGCUACCUGGUGUCAUGAGCUCGCAUUUGUCUACGCGUGUGGGCUGCUUUUCUGCUGCCCAAGUGUUCCAGCUCAUUGCAUCGUUUGCAUACAUAGUGAAAGGUUGUGAUAUCACUUCACUGUGCCUCGUGGUGCUUGUGUACCCCGCCUGUGCUUCUAUUUUUGCUUUCUGGGACUUUCCCGAAAGUGGCCGAAGUUCCUGUCUCACUGCCCAAAAUAAAUACACAAAAAAAUUC